GCAGCUUACUAAACUGUCACUGACGCUGAUGCACGAAAGCGUGGGGAGCGAACAGGAUUAGAUACCCUGGUAGUCCACGCCGUAAACGAUGAUCACUCGCUGUAUGCGAUACACAGUAUGCGGCCAAGCGAAAGCAUUAAGUGAUCCACCUGGGGAGUACGAUCGCAAGGUUGAAACUCAAAGGAAUUGACGGGGGCCCGCACAAGCGGAGGAACAUGUGGUUUAAUUCGAUGAUACGCGAGGAACCUUACCUGGGCUUAAAUGAGGAACGACAGCUGCCGAAAGGUGGCCUUCUUCGGACGUUCUUCAAGGUGCUGCAUGGUUGUCGUCAGCUCGUGCCGUGAGGUGUCGGGUUAAGUCCCAUAACGAGCGCAACCCUUAUCGUUAGUUGCCAGCGGGUCAUGCCGGGGACUCUAGCGAGACUGCCACCGUAAGGUGUGAGGAAGGUGGGGAUGACGUCAAAUCAGCACGGCCCUUAUGUCCAGGGCUACACACGUGUUACAAUGGCCAGUACAAAGGGCAGCUACCUGGUGACAGGAUGCUAAUCUCUAAAGCUGGUCUCAGUUCGGAUCGAAGUCUGCAACCCGACUUCGUGAAGCUGGAUUCGCUAGUAAUCGCGCAUCAGCCAUGGCGCGGUGAAUACGUUCCCGGGCCUUGUACACACCGCCCGUCAAACAAUGGAAGCUGGGGGUACCUGAAGUAUGUAACCGCAAGGAGCGUCCUAGGGUAAAACUAGUAACUGGUGUUAA
rnacentral:rRNA from 1 species